GGAGUGGGCCAGACAGUCGCCGCCGGUCACCGAUCGGUGACGGGUGGAGGAAAGUCCGGGCUCCGCAGGGCGAGGUGCCAGGUAACGCCUGGGCGGCGUGAGCCGACGGAAAGUGCCGCAGAAAAUAUACCGCCCGUGACCUGCCCUGGCAGGUUGCAGGUAAGGGUGAAAUGGUGCGGUAAGAGCGCACCGCGCUGCUGGUAACAGCGGUGGCAGGGUAAACCCCACCCGGAGCAAGACCAAAUAGGGGAACACUCGCGUGGCCCGCGCGGUUCCCGGGUAGGUCGCUAGAGGUUUGCGGCGACGCAGGCCCCAGAUGAAUGGCUGUCCACGACAGAACCCGGCUUAUGGCCCACUCGACUU
rnacentral:RNase_P_RNA from 1 species